rnacentral:piRNA from 1 species
UCGGGACGCUUAUGGUUGGCAGAUUAGCGU